rnacentral:rRNA from 1 species
AGUGGCAGACGGGUGAGUAACACGUGGGAACGUACCCUUUGGUUCGGGACAACUCUGGGAAACUGGAGCUAAUACCGGAUACGCCCUUUUGGGGAAAGGUUUACUGCCGAAGGAUCGGCCCGCGUCUGAUUAGCUAGUUGGUGGGGUAACGGCCUACCAAGGCGACGAUCAGUAGCUGGUCUGAGAGGAUGAUCAGCCACACUGGGACUGAGACACGGCCCAGACUCCUACGGGAGGCAGCAGUGGGGAAUAUUGGACAAUGGGCGCAAGCCUGAUCCAGCCAUGCCGCGUGAGUGAUGAAGGCCUUAGGGUUGUAAAGCUCUUUUAUCCGGGACGAUAAUGACGGUACCGGAGGAAUAAGCCCCGGCUAACUUCGUGCCAGCAGCCGCGGUAAUACGAAGGGGGCUAGCGUUGCUCGGAAUCACUGGGCGUAAAGGGCGCGUAGGCGGCGUUUUAAGUCGGGGGUGAAAGCCUGUGGCUCAACCACAGAAUGGCCUUCGAUACUGGGACGCUUGAGUCUGGUAGAGGUUGGUGGAACUGCGAGUGUAGAGGUGAAAUUCGUAGAUAUUCGCAAGAACACCGGUGGC